rnacentral:tRNA from 1 species
GUGCCUGUGGCUCAAAGGAGUAGGGCACUGGCCCUAAAUGCCAGAAGUGGUGGGUUCAAACCCAGCCCUGGACA